GACGGAGGAUGCAAGCGUUAUCCGGAAUGAUUGGGCGUAAAGCGUCCGCAGGUGGCAGUUCAAGUCUGCUGUCAAAGACCGGGGCUUAACUUCGGAAAGGCAGUGGAAACUGAACAGCUAGAGUAUGGUAGGGGCAGAGGGAAUUCCUGGUGUAGCGGUGAAAUGCGUAGAGAUCAGGAAGAACAUCGGUGGCGAAGGCGCUCUGCUAGGCCUGAUUUCGCGACUGACACUCAGGGACGAGAGCCAGGGGAGCGAAUGGG
rnacentral:rRNA from 1 species